GCGGCGCCGAAGAGAUGGCGGAGUUGGACAUCGGGCAGCACUGCCAGGUGGAGCACUGCCGGCAGCGAGAUUUUCUUCCAUUUGUGUGUGAUGAUUGUUCAGGAAUAUUUUGGUGACUGUAAUCAAUGAGAGACUGAAGACAGAUCAACAUACAUCUUACCCAUGCUCUUUCAAAGACUGUGCUGAGAGAGAACUUGUGGCAGUUAUAUGUCCUUAUUGUGAGAAGAAUUUUUGCCUGAGACACCGUCAUCAGUCAGAUCAUGAGUGUGAAAAACUGGAGAUCCCAAAGCCUCACAUGGCUGCCACUCAGAAACUUGUUAAAGGCAUUGUUGGUAAGUAUCUAGAAAGCGUGUUUUGUUGCUUUCCUAGUUCCAAAGCUCCUGCUUCUUAUGUCUACUUUCCAGUUAUGGGAGGCAUCAUUAAUAACCCCAGUGGUAUUCGUAUUAACUUGUAUUUUGAUGAUAUUCUUGUGACAGUAUUUCUUAUGAGGUCUGCCUGACCAAUGAAAAUUUGGAAAUUAUUUGGAGGUACUCCACCAUAAGUACUUAUCUCUUUUGCUGAGCCACUUAGAUUAGCUAGUUAACCAUCGGGCUAGAAAUGGUAUUCAUGAGAUUGAAGUAGUCGGCUGCUUUCUCUACAGACUAAACUCUAAGCCUAGUCAGCUGUUCUGUGAAUGCUGCUGAUAAUAAGAGAUACCAGGAAUGAAUGUAUCUGUGACUUAAAUCAGUCUCUCUGCCAGUAUGUUAGCUCAGAAUUUUUAUUCCAUAUUAAGGAUAGUACCUUUAUUACAAUCUUGCAUAACCAAAUCUUA
rnacentral:sRNA from 1 species